rnacentral:tRNA from 1 species
UAGCUCAGUUGGUAAAGUGCAAGGCUCUUAACCUUGUGGUCGUGGGUUCGAGCCCCAC